rnacentral:rRNA from 1 species
UUAAGCGACUAAGCGUACACGGUGGAUGCCCUGGCAGUCAGAGGCGAUGAAGGGCGUGCUAAUCUGCGAUAAGCGCCGGUAAGGUGAUAUGAACCGUUAUAACCGGCGAUACCCGAAUGGGGAAACCCAGUGUGACUCGUCACACUAUCAUUAACUGAAUCCAUAGGUUAAUGAGGCGAACCGGGGGAACUGAAACAUCUAAGUACCCCGAGGAAAAGAAAUCAACCGAGAUUCCCCCAGUAGCGGCGAGCGAACGGGGAGGAGCCCAGAGCCUGAAUCAGCAUGUGUGUUAGUGGAAGCGUCUGGAAAGGCGCGCGAUACAGGGUGACAGCCCCGUACACAAAAGCGCAUGUGCUGUGAGCUCGAUGAGUAGGGCGGGACACGUGGUAUCCUGUCUGAAUAUGGGGGGACCAUCCUCCAAGGCUAAAUACUCCUGACUGACCGAUAGUGAACCAGUACCGUGAGGGAAAGGCGAAAAGAACCCCGGCGAGGGGAGUGAAAAAGAACCUGAAACCGUGUACGUACAAGCAGUGGGAGCCCCACCACCAAAGCGUUUCGCUUUGUGUGGUGCACAAAGAAGCGUAACGACAGCACUGAAUGACGGUUAACGGAGCGCAAGCGACGUUCAACAUACAAAGUCAAGCAGUGGAGCGCUUUGGGGUGGGGUGACUGCGUACCUUUUGUAUAAUGGGUCAGCGACUUAUAUUCUGUAGCAAGGUUAACCGAAUAGGGGAGCCGGAGGGAAACCGAGUCUUAACCGGGCGUUAAGUUGCAGGGUAUAGACCCGAAACCCGGUGAUCUAGCCAUGGGCAGGUUGAAGGUUGGGUAACACUAACUGGAGGACCGAACCGACUAAUGUUGAAAAAUUAGCGGAUGACCUGUGGCUGGGGGUGAAAGGCCAAUCAAACCGGGAGAUAGCUGGUUCUCCCCGAAAGCUAUUUAGGUAGCGCCUCGUGAAUUCAUCUCCGGGGGUAGAGCACUGUUUCGGCUAGGGGGCCAUCCCGGCUUACCAACCCGAUGCAAACUGCGAAUACCGGAGAAUGUUAUCACGGGAGACACACGGCGGGUGCUAACGUCCGUCGUGAAGAGGGAAACAACCCAGACCGCCAGCUAAGGUCCCAAAGUCAUGGUUAAGUGGGAAACGAUGUGGGAAGGCCCAGACAGCCAGGAUGUUGGCUUAGAAGCAGCCAUCAUUUAAAGAAAGCGUAAUAGCUCACUGGUCGAGUCGGCCUGCGCGGAAGAUGUAACGGGGCUAAACCAUGCACCGAAGCUGCGGCAGCGACGCUUAUGCGUUGUUGGGUAGGGGAGCGUUCUGUAAGCCUGUGAAGGUGGCCUGUGAGGGUUGCUGGAGGUAUCAGAAGUGCGAAUGCUGACAUAAGUAACGAUAAAGCGGGUGAAAAGCCCGCUCGCCGGAAGACCAAGGGUUCCUGUCCAACGUUAAUCGGGGCAGGGUGAGUCGACCCCUAAGGCGAGGCCGAAAGGCGUAGUCGAUGGGAAACGGGUUAAUAUUCCCGUACUUGGUGUUACUGCGAAGGGGGGACGGAGAAGGCUAUGUUGGCCGGGCGACGGUUGUCCCGGUUUAAGCGUGUAGGUGUGUGUUCCAGGUAAAUCCGGUUCACUUUAACACUGAGGCGUGAUGACGAGGCACUACGGUGCUGAAGCAACAAAUGCCCUGCUUCCAGGAAAAGCCUCUAAGCAUCAGGUAACAUCAAAUCGUACCCCAAACCGACACAGGUGGUCAGGUAGAGAAUACCAAGGCGCUUGAGAGAACUCGGGUGAAGGAACUAGGCAAAAUGGUGCCGUAACUUCGGGAGAAGGCACGCUGACACGUAGGUGAAGUGAUUUACUCAUGGAGCUGAAGUCAGUCGAAGAUACCAGCUGGCUGCAACUGUUUAUUAAAAACACAGCACUGUGCAAACACGAAAGUGGACGUAUACGGUGUGACGCCUGCCCGGUGCCGGAAGGUUAAUUGAUGGGGUCAGCGCAAGCGAAGCUCCUGAUCGAAGCCCCGGUAAACGGCGGCCGUAACUAUAACGGUCCUAAGGUAGCGAAAUUCCUUGUCGGGUAAGUUCCGACCUGCACGAAUGGCGUAAUGAUGGCCAGGCUGUCUCCACCCGAGACUCAGUGAAAUUGAACUCGCUGUGAAGAUGCAGUGUACCCGCGGCAAGACGGAAAGACCCCGUGAACCUUUACUAUAGCUUGACACUGAACAUUGAGCCUUGAUGUGUAGGAUAGGUGGGAGGCUUUGAAGUGUGGACGCCAGUCUGCAUGGAGCCGACCUUGAAAUACCACCCUUUAAUGUUUGAUGUUCUAACGUGGACCCGUGAUCCGGGUUGCGGACAGUGUCUGGUGGGUAGUUUGACUGGGGCGGUCUCCUCCUAAAGAGUAACGGAGGAGCACGAAGGUUGGCUAAUCCUGGUCGGACAUCAGGAGGUUAGUGCAAUGGCAUAAGCCAGCUUGACUGCGAGCGUGACGGCGCGAGCAGGUGCGAAAGCAGGUCAUAGUGAUCCGGUGGUUCUGAAUGGAAGGGCCAUCGCUCAACGGAUAAAAGGUACUCCGGGGAUAACAGGCUGAUACCGCCCAAGAGUUCAUAUCGACGGCGGUGUUUGGCACCUCGAUGUCGGCUCAUCACAUCCUGGGGCUGAAGUAGGUCCCAAGGGUAUGGCUGUUCGCCAUUUAAAGUGGUACGCGAGCUGGGUUUAGAACGUCGUGAGACAGUUCGGUCCCUAUCUGCCGUGGGCGCUGGAGAACUGAGGGGGGCUGCUCCUAGUACGAGAGGACCGGAGUGGACGCAUCACUGGUGUUCGGGUUGUCAUGCCAAUGGCACUGCCCGGUAGCUAAAUGCGGAAGAGAUAAGUGCUGAAAGCAUCUAAGCACGAAACUUGCCCCGAGAUGAGUUCUCCCUGAGACUUAGAGUCUCCUGAAGGAACGUUGAAGACGACGACGUUGAUAGGCCGGGUGUGUAAGCGCAGCGAUGCGUUGAGCUAACCGGUACUAAUGAACCGUGAGGCUUAACCUU